ACAGGAUGCUAUAGCGGCGAGUGAAGCGGCAAUAGCUCAAAUUUGAAAUCUGGCGUCUUCGGCGUCCGAGUUGUAAUUUGAAGAAGGUAUCUUUGAGGCUGGCUCUUGUCUAUGUUCCUUGGAACAGGACGUCACAGAGGGUGAGAAUCCCGUGCGAUGAGAUGCCCAGUUUCGUGUAAAGUUCCUUCGACGAGUCGAGUUGUUUGGGAAUGCAGCUCUAAGUGGGUGGUAAAUUCCAUCUAAAGCUAAAUAUUGGCGAGAGACCGAUAGCGAACAAGUACUGUGAAGGAAAGAUGAAAAGAACUUUGAAAAGAGAGUGAAAAAGUACGUGAAAUUGUUGAAAGGGAAGGGCUUGAGGUCAGACUUGGUUUACCAGGCCAGCAUCAGUUUGGGUGGCAGGAUAAUAGCUAAGGAAAGUGGCACGAUUUCGGUUGUGUGUUAUAGCCUUGGUUGAUACUGCCUGCCUAGACUGAGGACUGCGUCUUUGACUAGGAUGCUGGCAUAAUGACCUUAAGCCGCCCGUCUUGAACCACGGGACCCCAAAAAGUUAUUGACCCACCGCCCAACCCUCUUUGAAAAAAAGAAAAAGAAGAUUUACG
rnacentral:rRNA from 1 species